ACGAAGAGGGUUAGAAUGAGAGCUUCGCAAGGAUUUCUUUCCAUCUUAGUGACGGACGGGUGAGUAACGUGUGGGCAACCUGCCCUGUACUGGGGAAUAAUCGUUGGAAGCGAUGACUAAUACCGCAUGUGGUUCUCGGAAGGCAUCUUCUGAGGAAGAAAGGAUUUAUUCGGUACAGGAUGGGCCCGCAUCUGAUUAGCUAGUUGGUGAGAUAACAGCCCACCAAGGCGACGAUCAGUAGCCGACCUGAGAGGGUGAUCGGCCACAUUGGGACUGAGACACGGCCCAAACUCCUACGGGAGGCAGCAGUGGGGAAUAUUGCACAAUGGGCGAAAGCCUGAUGCAGCAACGCCGCGUGAAGGAUGAAGGGUUUCGGCUCGUAAACUUCUAUCAAUAGGGAAGAAACAAAUGACGGUACCUAAAUAAGAAGCCCCGGCUAACUACGUGCCAGCAGCCGCGGUAAUACGUAGGGGGCAAGCGUUAUCCGGAAUUACUGGGUGUAAAGGGAGCGUAGGCGGCAUGGUAAGCCAGAUGUGAAAGCCUUGGGCUUAACCCGAGGAUUGCAUUUGGAACUAUCAAGCUAGAGUACAGGAGAGGAAAGCGGAAUUCCUAGUGUAGCGGUGAAAUGCGUAGAUAUUAGGAAGAACUUCAAAGGGGAAGGCGGCUUUCUGGACUGAAACUGACGCUGAGCCUUAAAGGUGUGGGUAGCAAACAGG
rnacentral:rRNA from 1 species